rnacentral:rRNA from 1 species
AGCAGCCGCGGUAAUUCCAGCUCCAAUAGCGUAUAUUAAAGUUGUUGCAGUUAAAAAGCUCGUAGUUGAAUUUCGGGGUUAGUAGGUUGGUCAUGCCUCUGGUAUGUACUGAUCUCACUGAUUCCUCCUUCCUGAUGAACCGUAAUGCCAUUAAUUUGGUGUUGCGGGGAAUUUGGACUGUUACUUUGAAAAAUUGAGUGUUUAAAGCAGGCUCACGCUUGAAUACAUUAGCAUGGAAUAAUGAAAUAGGACGUUUGAUUCUAUUUUGUU